rnacentral:rRNA from 1 species
GACGAACGCCGGCGGCGUGCCUAAUACAUGCAAGUCGAGCGGACGAAUCGAAAGCUUGCUUUUGAUUCGUUAGCGGCGGACGGGUGAGUAACACGUGGGCAACCUGCCCUGUAGACGGGGAUAACACCGAGAAAUCGGUGCUAAUACCGGAUAACACGAAAUGUCGCAUGACGUUUCGUUGAAAGACGGCGCAAGCUGCCGCUACAGGAUGGGCCCGCGGCGCAUUAGCUAGUUGGUGAGGUAACGGCUCACCAAGGCGACGAUACGUAGCCGACCUGAGAGGGUGAUCGGCCACACUGGGACUGAGACACGGCCCAGACUCCUACGGGAGGCAGCAGUAGGGAAUCUUCCGCAAUGGACGAAAGUCUGACGGAGCAACGCCGCGUGAGCGAAGAAGGCCUUCGGGUCGUAAAGCUCUGUUGUUAGGGAAGAACAAGUAACGCAGUAACUGGCGUUACCGUGACGGUACCUAACGAGAAAGCCACGGCUAACUACGUG